GUCAUUUUAGCGUUCACUUUAGUGUGAUCAGUUGAAUAUAAAUAAUUAGUAAAUUAACAAUUUGAUUUCUUAAACUGAAAAUGUUAAUUGUGUUAAGGUUCAGUUUGUGUUGUUUCUGUUCGAAGUUGAACACCAAAUACUAAUACUAACAGUAGAAUAUAAGUAAAAAGUGAAGUGUAAUUCUGAUGUUACUAAUAGGUUAACUCUUCAGAGUGAGGAUCUUAACGUAGUAACAUCUUGUCAUUUUGGGGUAUCGGUCUGAUAUUGGCUUAGGCCUGGUGGUUUCAUUGGGGUAGAUGUGUAUCUAGCAGGAAAACUGAGUGUGGCCAUCUUUGUCACCAGUAACAGCUUGAUUUGAUUGUAUUGCUACAUGCAAGAGCUGAAGAACCAAUGGAGAAGAAAGGAUACAUUUAGAGCUUUGCGGGAUGUUCGACCAUAGUCAUCAGACAACAUACACAAAAAAAGAUUGAGCUGCAUAUUUUCCCAUUUCAUCAAACUUUUUUUUGCCACUUUAUUCUCUGAACAUGAAAGGAGUACAGUGUGAUAAGUAGAAUAAGAAAUGAUUGGAGGACUAACCUGAAGCCCAGAACUGUUUCUUCAUCAGCACUUAGUUAAUACAACUUGUAGAGAGUUAUCAGAAAUUCUACCAUAUCAAACAUUCUAGGAAUUGUAGAAAAAAAUCUAACAAAAAAACACCAGAAAAUGACUGUAGCAACCGAAUCCUCUGAUUCACAAUAGAUGACUUAUAUACACGUGUUUACACGUAUACAUUGAACUGUUAAAAAAUCUUGACAGGUAUGAUGGGUCAUUUGAUAUACAGAUCAAGCAAGUUUGGGUUAACAGAUACCUACCAAAAAUUUAAAUUCAGUCACUGAUUUUUUUUUACGAAGAUCAAUCAGCUACCAUAUUCUGUGAACAAAGGUAGCUUAAUGGAAAUUGAAACGUUAAAAGGUGUCUGAAAAAAGUAAAGAAUCUCUUGAGAAACUAACUCAUCUCAUACUUAGACACCUUUUUAUGAACCAGCCAUCAUUCAGAAAUGCAGUAUAACCCCUUCAGUUAUUUGGUCUCAGGCAUGUAUACAUCUGUGAAAUAAUAA
rnacentral:misc_RNA from 1 species